rnacentral:rRNA from 1 species
UAAGGAAUAUUGGUCAAUGGACGCAAGUCUGAACCAGCCAUGCCGCGUGAAGGAUGAAGGUCCUCUGGAUUGUAAACUUCUUUUAUCUGGGACGAAAACGGGAUUUUUAUCUCAAUUGACGGUACCAGAGGAAUAAGCACCGGCUAACUCCGUGCCAGCAGCCGCGGUAAUACGGAGGGUGCGAGCGUUAUCCGGAUUUACUGGGUCUAAAGGGUGCGUAGGUGGGCUUAUAAGUCAGUGGUGAAAUCUCCGAGCUUAACUUGGAAACUGCCGUUGAUACUAUAGGUCUUGAAUUAUCUGGAGGUAAGCGGAAUAUGUCAUGUAGCGGUGAAAUGCUUAGAUAUGACAUAGAACACCAAUUGCGAAGGCAGCUUACUACAUAUAAAUUGACGCUGAGGCACGAAAGCGUGGGGAUCAAACA